UACGUAGGGGGCAAGCGUUGUCCGGAUUUAUUGGGCGUAAAGAGCGUGUAGGCGGCCAUGCAGGUCCGUUGUGAAAACUCGAGGCUCAACCUCGAGACGUCGAUGGAAACCGCACGGCUAGAGUCCGGAAGAGGAGAGUGGAAUUCCUGGUGUAGCGGUGAAAUGCGCAGAUAUCAGGAAGAACACCCGUGGCGAAGGCGGCUCUCUGGGACGGUACUGACGCUGAGACGCGAAGGCGUGGGGGAGCGAACAGG
rnacentral:rRNA from 1 species